rnacentral:rRNA from 1 species
CCUACGGGUGGCAGCAGUCGAGAAUCAUUCACAAUGGGGGAAACCCUGAUGGUGCGACGCCGCGUGGGGGAAUGAAGGUCUUCGGAUUGUAAACCCCUGUCAUGUGGGAGCAAAUUAAAAAGAUAGUACCACACUAGGAAGAGACGGCUAACUCUGUGCCAGCAGCCGCGGUAAUACACAGGUCUCAAGCGUUGUUCGGAAUCACUGGGCGUAAAGCGUGCGUAGGCUGUUUCGUAAGUCGUGUGUGAAAGGCGCGGGCUCAACCCGCGGACGGCACAUGAUACUGCGAGACUAGAGUAAUGGAGGGGGAACCGGAAUUCUCGGGGUAGCAGUGAAAUGCGUAGAUAGCGAGAGGAACACUCGUGGCGAAAGCGGGUUCCUGGACAUUAACUGACGCUGAGGCACGAAGGCCAGGGGAGCGAAAGGGAUUAGAUACCCGAGUAGUC